UAGCUGAGGUAAAAAGGUAUAAAGGGGAAGUAUAGCUACUUUAGCUAUUUCCGUCAUUGAGAGAAUUAAUAUGUUGCUUUGAAAGAAAAAAGAAAAAAAAUUGCCAAAAGAAUUUUGUUUGCAGUUUUCUUUAUGUAUAUCUUGUCGGAUUUUCAAAAAUAAUUUUGGUCAUCCGGAGAAAAUCUCGAAGGUUGGUAUGAGGCUUGACGAGAAAAAGUGGCUCAUUGUGCAAUGACGAUUAAGUUUGAUAAAAGAUUUAAGGUUCCCAGCUUAGUUUGGUUUAUUUUGCCAGUAUCAUGGCUCGGAGGUUUUAUUGGUUUCCUGCAUCAAUGUUUAUAAUUUGCUGGUUUUUGUUGUUUCUAUCUUUCAUUAUGAAUUACAAUCCAUGAAAGAGUAAUAGCCUCAGUACUUACAUACAAUGUAAAAACCUCACCUGCCUAUUUUCUUCCUUCAAUAUUGUAAGAGGCCUCUUAAUUAGUUCUCCACCACGCAUGAACCAAAAUCAACCAUGGCUACCGUACUCAUUAUGAAUGAAAUAUGACGCGCGCACUGCCAUCUCUUGGUUUUGGAUCCUUCUGAGGUAGUGCUGGUGUCUUAGUUUCAGUGGUUUACUUGACACAAUCAGGUUCUGUUAUUAAAAAUAUUACUGUCACCGUGUAUGCUUCAUAUGAAACCUCUUCCUCUAUGUGUGUAUCCUUUUUCUAA